rnacentral:rRNA from 1 species
AGUGAACGCUGGCGGUAGGCCUAACACAUGCAAGUCGAACGGCAGCACCGUAAGAGCUUGCUCUUACGGGUGUCGAGUGGCGGACGGGUGAGGAAUACAUCGGAAUCUACUUUUUCGUGGGGGAUAACGUAGGGAAACUUACGCUAAUACCGCAUACGACCUACGGGUGAAAGCAGGGGAUCUUCGGACCUUGCGCGAUUGAAUGAGCCGAUGUCGGAUUAGCUAGUUGGCUGGGUAAAGGCCCACCAAGGCGACGAUCCGUAGCUGGUCUGAGAGGAUGAUCAGACAGACUGGAACUGAGACACGGUACAGACUCCUACGGGAGGCAGCAGUGGGGAAUAUUGGAGAAGGGGCGAAAGCCUGAUACAGCCAUACCGCGUGGGUGAAGAAGGACUUCGGGUUGUAAAGCCCUUUUGUUGGGAGAGAAAAGAAGCAGGUUAAUACCCCGCUGUUCUGACGGUACCCAAAGAAUAAGCACCGGCUAACUUCGUG